rnacentral:tRNA from 1 species
GGUAGGAUGGCUGAGAUAUAGGCAAUAAACUGUAAAUUUAUUUACGAAUUUUGUAAUUCUCCUACCA